AGGAGGCAGUGGCAGGCCCUGGCCUGGCCGCCGAGAGGAGGAGGAGGAGGGAUGCUGCGGUGGCGGGACGGCCAGAAAGAGGGGGGGAGAAGCGGGCGAGAAGCAGGUGGCAGCAGGGGGAAUGGAGAAAGCCGGACAUGCCGGCAGGACGGGGGGCAAUGGCUGGGCCCAACUAGAGGCGCAGAUGCUCUGUGCCCGAGCCCACUAGUCACAGAAUAAACCCUGAGAUUGGUUGCUUGUGAGUCACAAUUGGCAAAAAACUUUUAAAAUCUGUUUAAAAAGGGAUGGGAAUUUGCACAGGCAGUCAGAUAGAGGGCAGGAGAUGGAUCCCGCCCCCCCGGUCAUGAUCAUUUAACAACAACAACAACAAAAAAAGCAGCAGACUCAUUACUGCUUGGAAUUCCGGAAAGCCCCAACUUCUUUCAGAAGUGGGUUGGAAAAGUCCAACCUCAACGUGGCCAUGCAAGUUUGGGUUCGGGCUCUCUCUGAAUCCCUCAGGUCUUGGUAAAACUGGACCAUGUCUGACUUUAUCGAUCCAACUUUGCACAGGCCUGGUGAAAGGCAAAGCAGAUCCUGGUUCUCUUCUGGUCUGCCAGCAACCAUGUUUGUAAUGGAUUGUCCUAAAAAGGAACAGCAUCAAUAGCUCUAGAUCUGAGCCAGGGAGGGGAUGGGACCUAAGCAUUUCCAGCCAGGGACUUACCAAGAAGUUGAGGGCAUAGGCCAACUGUUUAGCCACCUGUAGCUUCCAGGUUGCCGUGACUUUGCCGGUGGCUUGAUUUCUCCGCAGGUUCUCUGCCUGGAUUUUGUGGAACAUCAUCUGGUUGACGGUGCGUCGUGGGGCAGACGGAGAUAUGGGAAGCUGGCGGCAGCUGCCCCCUCGCACGAUCAGCAGCAUCAUUUCUUGGAGUUUGUGGACAGGAAGUUCAUGGUGCCCAGUGUGGAAAAUCUGCACAUCUCUGAUACUACUACAGCCAAAGAGGUGACCGAAAAAAUAAUAAAGUGAAAAAGGACA